UGGUUAUUCAAGAAUAGAAUAGUAGUUCUGCCUUAAAUUUAUUUAUGAUACAACGCACAAUUUAAGAGUUAUUCCAAUAAGGCACAGCUUAUUUGAAAAAGGACACAACCUCAACGACAGGGUAUACCUUAACUUUAUAUCAAGUGGGCCUAAGAGCAGCCAUCUUUAAGAAAGCGUUACAGCUCAACUUACUUUUAACUUAAUACCAUUCAAAAUCAUUAACCCUUCACCACUACUGAAUGAUUCUAUAAUAAUAUAGAAAACACCAUGCUAGAACUAGUAACAAGAACCUGACAUUCUCCCUAAUGCAAGUGUCAACCAAAAUGGACCCUAUUGGUAAUUAACGAAAAUGAACAUACUACUGCAACAACCAAGAAAACCCAGUACGACUUCUCGUCAACCUGACACCAGAGCAUUUCUAGAAAGAUUAUAAGGAAAAGAAGGAACUCGGCAAACCAAGACUCCGCCUGUUUACCAAAAACAUCGCCUCUUGAUUUACAAUAAGAGGUCCAGCCUGCCCAGUGAUAAAUUCAACGGCCACGGUAUCCUAACCGUGCAAAGGUAGCAUAAUCACUUGUUCUUUAAAUAAGGACUAGUAUCAACGGCAUCACGAGAGUCACACUGUCUCCUUUUCCUAAUCAGUGAAACUGAUCUCCCCGUGAAGAAGCGAGGAUAAAACUAUAAGACGAGAAGACCCCAUGGAGCUUUAAACCCCCAGCAACCUAAUCUCACACUCCCCUACAAACACAAGGCCUUGCUUACCGGUUUUAGGUUGGGGCGACCACGGAGUAAAAACUAACCUCCAAGACGAAAAGAGCUAAAUCUUUAUCCUAGAGAUACUUCUCUAAGAAUUAGAAUACUAACGUAUAAUGACCCGACAACGAUCAACGAACCAAGUUACCCUGGGGAUAACAGCGCAAUCUACUUCAAGAGCCCAUAUCGACAAGUAGGCUUACGACCUCGAUGUUGGAUCAGGGUAUCCCUGUGGUGCAGUCGCUACUGAUGGUUCGUUUGUUCAACGAUUAAAACCCU
rnacentral:rRNA from 1 species